UGGGGAAUUUUGCAUAAUGGGGGAAACCCUGAUGCAGCGACGCCGCGUGAUUUAGAAGGCCUUCGGGUUGUAAAAAUCUUUUCUAUGGGAAGAAAAUGACAGUACCAUAGGAAUAAGGACCGGCUAAUUACGUGCCAGCAGCCGCGGUAAUACGUAAGGUCCGAGCGUUGUCCGGAAUCAUUGGGCGUAAAGGGUACGUAGGCGGGUAAGCAAGUUAGAAGUGAAAUCCUAUAGCUCAACUAUAGUAAGCUUUUAAAACUGCUCAUCUUGAGGUAUGGAAGAGAAAGUGGAAUUCCUAGUGUAGCGGUGAAAUGCGCAGAUAUUAGGAGGAAUACCGGUGGCGAAGGAGACUUUCUGGCCAUAACCUGACGCUGAGGUACGAAAGCGUGGGUAGCAAACAGG
rnacentral:rRNA from 1 species